CUUAUAGUGGGGGAGUAGCCUCUCGAAAGGAAGAUUAAUACCGCAUAAGAUUGUAGUAUCGCAUGAUAUAGCAAUUAAAGGAGCAAUUCGCUAUAAGAUGGACCCGCGUCGCAUUAGCUAGUUGGUGAGGUAAUGGCUCACCAAGGCGACGAUGCGUAGCCGACCUGAGAGGGUGAUCGGCCACAUUGGGACUGAGACACGGCCCAGACUCCUACGGGAGGCAGCAUG
rnacentral:rRNA from 1 species